rnacentral:rRNA from 1 species
UACGGAGGGAGCUAGCGUUGUUCGGAAUUACUGGGCGUAAAGCGCACGUAGGCGGAUUGUUAAGUCGGGGGUGAAAUCCUGGAGCUCAACUCCAGAACUGCCUUCGAUACUGGCGAUCUAGAGUCCGGGAGAGGUGAGUGGAACUGCGAGUGUAGAGGUGAAAUUCGUAGAUAUUCGCAAGAACACCAGUGGCGAAGGCGGCUCACUGGCCCGGUACUGACGCUGAGGUGCGAAAGCGUGGGGAGCAAACAGG